UGAUCAAGUUUUUAUCUGAUCAAGUGUUUACAUAAAUGCUGUCACCACUGUCACCUGAUUGUUCUGCACGCCUAAUUUAAUAUAUAUAACCUAUACCUUACUGAUAACUGCACAGUAUUGUAUUUUUCCUCUCUUUUAUUGUAAAUCCCUUUCAGCCUUUUUGUGAUUGUUUUUUGCACUUUGUUUCUUAUAGCUUUUAGUUUGGGUAAGUUUUCUACUUUUUUAGAUAAAUAUGAACCUGUGUACUUUCAUUGCCUUAUGGUUUGGUGCUGACACACUCAAAUGUUCCUAUUGUGGAACAAUAAAGGUUUUCUAUUCUAAUUAAUUGAGAGAGAUAACCAUGACUUCUGAGAUCACGCAUAACCAAGUUACUGUUUGAAAAUGUAAUCUACAUUAUACUUUCAAAGAAGAAUAAACACUUCUGAUUUGGAAAAUUAACUUUAUGUUAUAAAUCACCACAGGCAAAAUAUGGCAUAUUUAACCAUCUAAGAACUUGUAACAAAGAACAUUAAAAUAGAACCUAUUUCUGGUCAGGAAUAUCAAACCAUGGCAAAAUGUAUUUGCCUUUUGAUCUGGGCUUCUCAGAAAUUUUCCCCCAAAAUGUGUUGAUUCACAGCAUUCAGUCUGCUGUGUAUAACGCUGCAUGUGGUUGUAUUGUCUUCUUUUCAGACACAGUCUUCACUAUAUUUGCCAGGUCAUCAUAAAGCUCCCACACACAUGGAGCUCUUCGGCAGUAUGCAAUGUAAUGUCCCAGACCAUCUUUAGUCAAGCUUCCCUUGAAAGCGAUGACUCCUCUCAAAGAGAAUGUCUUUCCUUGGAGAGCAACAGUGGGGGGAAAUUCACUCAAAGGAAACUGAGUUGUGUUUGCAAGUGGGCGAAGGCAGGGAGACUCCGGAAGGAAGAGUCCAUUUUCCACUGAAAUGUCAAGCUGAGCCAUGCCAGAGUCCAUCAGCACAGAAAUGUCAGGAGAAACAAAUGUGGCUGAGCUUGCUGUGAGGUUGGUGCUUUUGAAGAGGGGGACCAUUACUCCUGUCCAAAGUGCCGUGUAGGUCAGUCUGGAUCUCGUCAAAAGAAUCCACUUGAUGCAUUUCAUUUGGAUCUUCAGCUGGAAUGAUGAUGGAGUCUUCUGUGAUCUGGGCAGUCCCACUGACAGAUCAUCUUUAUGCAGUGUGCCACAUCAACCCUGAUAAAACAAGGAGGAAGUUUUGCAGACUGGUUCCCAAGUAGCAAACGGAAGCAUUCGUUAAUGUAUGUCUUCAGAUUGGGGUAAGGAGUGAAGGCCUUCACCAGAGCACCAAGAAUAGCCAGAGAAAAGUCACUCACGGCUUCCUUUGGUAUAGCAGCACCUGUACGAAGCCAUUCUGUCAGCCAUGUUGCAAUUGCAUUAAUGUCGUGUCUCUCUGACAGCAUUUGCACAACUGGGACUGAGCAGUUGUCCCCUGUCAGAACGCCUUGAUAUAAGAAGAUGUGGCCAGAUGUACCAUUUGGUCUCACCAGUCUUCUCACAACUGAGCCAGUUGCGUCAAAGCAAACUACUGAGGGGCAUUUUUUGGACAAUGCCUUAUACACAUGUAGCUGUGUUUGACUCCAAUAGUGGCAGAAGAACUUGUCUAGAC